rnacentral:rRNA from 1 species
GAAUAUUUGACAAUGGGGGGAACCCUGAUCCAGCCAUGCCGCGUGUGUGAAGAAGGCCUUUUGGUUGUAAAGACCUUUAAGCGAGGAGGAGGCUAUUGUAGUUAAUACCUAGAGAUAGUGGCUGUUAAUAGCGGAAUAAGUACCGGCUAACUCUCGGCGAGCAGCCGCGGUAAUACAGAGGGUGCAAGCGUUAAUCGGAUUUACUGGGCGGAAAGCGCGCGUAGGUGGCCAAUUAAGUCAAAUGUGAAAUCCCCGAGCUUAGCUUGGGAAUUGCAUUCGAUACUGGUUGGCUAGAGUAUGGGAGAGGAUGGUAGAAUUCCAGGUGUAGCGGUGAAAUGCGUAGAGAUCUGGAGGAAUACCGAUGGCGAAGGCAGCCAUCUGUCCUAAUACUGACACUGAGGUGCGAAAGCAUGGGGAGCAAAC